rnacentral:piRNA from 1 species
UGAUCAGUGGAAGUGGCAGUG